rnacentral:rRNA from 1 species
CUGCGCCACUAAAAGACAAAGUCUCCUAACAGCUAGUUGUCAUCGUUUACGGCGUGGACUACCAGGGUAUCUAAUCCUGUUCGCUGCCCACGCUUUCGCACCUCAGUGUCAGUACAGAUCCAGGAGGCCGCCUUCGCCACUGGUAUUCUUCAUAAUAUCUACGCAUUCCACCGCUACACUAUGAAUUCUACCUCCCUCUAUCGUACUCUAGUGAGUUAGUUUUGGAUGCAGUUCCUAGGUUGAGCCCAGGGCUUUCACAUCCAACUUAACAAACCACCUACGCGCGCUUUACGCCCAGUAAUUCCGAUUAACGCUUGCACCUUCCGUAUUACCGCGGCUGCUGGCACGGAAUUAGCCGGUGCUUAUUCUGCAGGUAACAUCAAGGUUAUAAGGUAUUAGCUUAUAACUUUUUCUCCCUGCUUAAAGUGCUUUACAACCCGAAGGCCUUCUUCACACACGCGGUAUGGCUGGAUCAGGCUUGCGCCCAUUGUCCAAUAUUCCCCACUGCUGCCUCCCGUAGGAGUCUGGGCCGUGUCUCAGUCCCAAUGUGGCUGAUCGUCCUCUCAAACCAGCUAAAGAUCGUUGCCUUGGUGAGCCUUUACCUCACCAACAAGCUAAUCUUACGCAGGCUCAUCUAGUAGCGAAAGCUUCAAAGAGAGGCCUUCUUUCUCCCGAAGGAGGUAUACGGUAUUAAUCCGGGUUUCCCCGGGCUAUCCCCUUCUACUAGGUAGAUUCCUACGCGUUACUCACCCGUCCGCCGCUGUACUCGUAUCCGAAGAUACUUUCUCGCACGACUUGCAUGUGUUAAGCCUACCGCCGGCGUUCAAUCUGAGCCAGGAUCAAACUCU